UGGGGAAUCUUGCACAAUGGGGCAACCGUAGCAUGCAGCGACGCCGCGUGAGCGAUGAAGCCCUUCGGGGUGUGAAAGCUCUUUCGUCAGGGACGAUAAUGACGGUACCUGGAGAAGCAGCUGCGGCUAACUACGUGCCAGCAGCCGCGGUAAUACGUAGGCAGCGAGCGUUGUUCGGAGUUACUGGGCGUAAAGGGUGUGUAGGCGGUUUUCUAAGUUUGGUGUGAAAUCUCCCGGCUCAACCGGGAGGGUGCGCCGAAAACUGGGAGACUAGAGUGCGGGAUGGGAGAGUAGAAUUCCUGGUGUAGCGGUGAAAUGCGUAGAUAUCAGGAGGAAUACCGGUGGUGUAGACGGCUUCUUCUGGACCGCCACUGACGCUGAGACACGAAAGCGUGGGUAGCAAACA
rnacentral:rRNA from 1 species